GUGAGGAAUAUUGCGCAAUGGAGGCAACUCUGACGCAGCCAUGCCGCGUGCAGGAAGAAGGCGCUACGCGUUGUAAACUGCUUUUAACCGGGAAGAAACCCCAGGACGUGUCCUGGGUUGACGGUACCGGAGGAAUAAGCACCGGCUAACUUCGUGCCAGCAGCCGCGGUAAUACGAAGGGUGCAAGCGUUAUCCGGAUUCAUUGGGUUUAAAGGGUGCGUAGGCGGAGCGUUAAGUCAGUGGUGAAAUCCUGCAGCUUAACUGUAGACUUGCCAUGGGUACUGGCGCUCUUGAGAGCGAUUGAAGUGGGCGGAAUGUGCCGUGUAGCGGUGAAAUGCUUAGAUAUGGCACAGAACACCAAUUGCGAAGGCAGCUCACUAAGGCGAUACUGACGCUGAGGCACGAAAGCGUGGGGAUCGAACAGGAUUAGAAACCCCGGUAGUCC
rnacentral:rRNA from 1 species